AGUGCCAGUUACAACUAGAGAGCUAACUGGACUGCAGAAGAGGAGACACACACAUUAAAGAUACCAGAAAUGUCCUAUACUGACAUUACCACAGAAGAACUCACAAACACAAUAAGAUGUGCACACAACUGGAAAGCCCCUAGUAUAGAUGGCAUUCAGAAUUUCUGGUACAAAAAUUUAUCUGUCUUCAUGACUUACUGGCCAAACAUCUCACAUAUCUCAUACACGAAUCAAAAAACACACCUUGUUUUCUUACAUAGGGCAUCACUUUCGUGAAACCCCAGAGCAAAACACUGGAAAC
rnacentral:lncRNA from 1 species